AACGAACGCUGGCGGCAUGCCUAACACAUGCAAGUCGAACGAGACGUCCGGGUCUUUUGGCGCACGGGUGCGGAACGCGUGGGAACCUGCCCUUAGGUUCGGAAUAACUCACAGAAAUUUGACCUAAUACCGCAUAAUGUCUUCGCACCAAAGAUUUAUCGCCUUUGGAUGGGCCCGCGUAGGAUUCGCUUGUUGGUGGGGUAAUGGCCGACCAAGGCGACGAUCCUUAGCUGGUCUGAGAGGAUGCUCAACCAGGCUGGGACUGAGACACGGCCCAGUAUCCGACGGGGGGGAGCGGUAGGGAAUAUUAGACACUGGGCGCAAGUGUAGUCCAGCAGUGCCGCGUAAGUCAUGAAGGGCUUAGGGUUGUAAAGCUCUUUUUCCAGAGGUGUUAAUGACGGUACCUGGAGAAGAAGCUCCGGCUAACUCCGUG
rnacentral:rRNA from 1 species